AUCAGGCUAAUGACUCGCACCUGGGAGUGAGAAGGGGUUAAUUGGCCCUUAGAAAAAAGGACAGCAACAGGGCAAAGGCACAUGGGAGAAAAAGGAGGCCAUGGAGAACAUGAGGGACACAUAGAAGAUGGAGGAGAGCACACCAGGGAAGACGCUGAAAGCAAGAAAGAGCAUACGGAACAGUCGGAGAAGCAGCCAGGAGAUUGGACGAAGAGACACGGAAAAAGAACCUUAGAGCCCUGACGCUACAAUGAAGAAAACGCAAACACCGAUCGCUAGCUGAAAAAAGUGGGAUAGCGUAAAACUCUCCCUCCCAUGUAAAUCCCUUUUGAGACCGGUGUGUGGCAGGAGUUUCUUUCUGACAGAAACCACAGUGCAAUUGAAAGAUUCAAGGAUGGACAUUCCAGCUUGCAGGUGUUAGCAUCCUGAAGUCCUGACGCCUAUUCUCUGCCUGUCAGAUAAAAAGUUGUCUGCUACGGACAUUGAAAAUAUCUUCUGACCAAAGUCUGCAGGGAAGCAACAAGAGGGUACAGGAGGAAAAAACAUUAUCUUUCUGGGCAGACUACCUUCUUGAUUGUGAAGAAAGUCAAAGUGAAGUAACCCUGGAGGAGGAGGUCUUCAUGUUUGCCACAGCCAUUGUCAAUGUAUUACCUACGUGGUAAAAGUUGCAGAUAAAUUAAAAGCUUAUUUUGUUUGCAGUUGCACUGCAUUAAUAGUAGUGGCCAAAUGUUUGGGCCAAAUGUUUUUAGGGCAGGGCAAUAUAUCAAUAUUAUAUCGACAUAGAUAUACGAGACUAGAUAUUGUUUUAAAUUUUGGAUAUGUUGAUAAGCGUUGUCUUUUCCUGGUUUUAAAGGCUGCAUUAUUUGCCUUUGCCCACUUAGU